rnacentral:rRNA from 1 species
GAGUUGUAAACUGCUUUUGUACGAGGGUAAACUCACCUACGUGUAGGUGACUGAAAGUAUCGUACGAAUAAGGAUCGGCUAACUCCGUGCCAGCAGCCGCGGUAAUACGGAGGAUUCAAGCGUUAUCCGGAUUUAUUGGGUUUAAAGGGUGCGUAGGCGGUUUGAUAAGUUAGAGGUGAAAUCCCGGGGCUUAACUCCGGAACUGCCUCUAAUACUGUUAGACUAGAGAGUAGUUGCGGUAGGCGGAAUGUAUGGUGUAGCGGUGAAAUGCUUAGAGAUCAUACAGAACACCGAUUGCGAAGGCAGCUUACCAAACUAUAUCUGACGUUGAGGCACGAAAGCGUGGGGAGCAAACAGGAUUAGAUACCCUGGUAGUCCACGCAGUAAACGAUGAUAACUCGUUGUCGGCGAUACACAGUCGGUGACUAAGCGAAAGCGAUAAGUUAUCCACCUGGGGAGUA